UCGUAACAAGGUUUCCGUAGGUGAACCUGCGGAAGGAUCAUUACUGAGUGCGGGCCCCUCGCGGGUCCAACCUCCCACCCGUGUCUCUUGAAUACCCUGUUGCUUUGGCGGGCCCACCGGGCCACCCCCGGUCGCCGGGGGGCACCGCGCCCCCGGGCCCGCGCCCGCCAGAGCGCCUCUGAACCCUAAUGAAGAAGGACUGUCUGAGUCUACGAUAUAAUUAUCAAAACUUUCAACAAUGGAUCUCUUGGUUCCGGCAUCGAUGAAGAACGCAGCGAAAUGCGAUAAGUAAUGUGAAUUGCAGAAUUCCGUGAAUCAUCGAAUCUUUGAACGCACAUUGCGCCCCCUGGCAUUCCGGGGGGCAUGCCUGUCCGAGCGUCAUUUCUGCCCUCAAGCCCGGCUUGUGUGUUGGGCGUGGUCCCCCCGGUGUCGGGGGGACCUGCCCCAAAGGCAGCGGCGACGUUCCGCCUAGGUCCUCGAGCGUAUGGGGCUUUGUCACCCGCUCGGGAGGGGCCUACGGGCGUUGGCCAUCCACCAAUUUUUUACGGUUGACCUCGGAUCAGGUAGGAGUUACCCGCUGAACUUAAGCAUAUCAAUAA
rnacentral:misc_RNA from 1 species